rnacentral:hammerhead_ribozyme from 1 species
AUCGAGCUGACGAGUCCAAAAUAGGACGAAAAGCGCGUCCUGGAU